UACGGAGGAUGCAAGCGUUAUCCGGAAUUAUUGGGCGUAAAGCGUCUGCAGGCGGCAAUUUAAGUCUGCUGUUAAAGGUUCUGGCUCAACCAGAAACAGGCAGUGGAAACUGAGCAGCUAGAGUGCUGUAGGGGCAGAGGGAAUUCCCAGUGUAGCGGUGAAAUGCGUAGAGAUUGGGAAGAACACCGGUGGCGAAAGCGCUCUGCUAGACCGUAACUGACACUCAUGGACGAAAGCUAGGGGAGCGAAUGGG
rnacentral:rRNA from 1 species